CGGAGUCUUUGCGGCGCGCAAGGCAAGCUGGGAUUGCUGCACGUGUUUCCGAAUUCAAGCACUAAAUGGCGCUGAGAUUACUUUUCUAGCCACUGCCUUCUGGACCACCAGCAAACAUGCCAAUGAAGAUUAUGGAAGACCAAGGCCCUGAAAACCUGACAGAACCACUGAGACCACUCUACCACUGACAGAAGGGCUAUUAGAUGUUUACGGGACCCCUGUCUUCCAAACAGUUCGACUCAUCAAUCCAUAGAACAUUCCCCCAAAAGUUUUGAGGAUCAUCAAGGGUGUACCCCGCCUUGUGCCCGAUGCUCCUUGGGAUAGACUCCAGGUUCCCCCGCGACCCUGAAGAAGGAGUAAGCGGUAGAAGAUGGAUGGAUGAAUAUUGGGUUAUUUUACACUUCAACAACCUGUAUGAAGGCAGGUACAAACAGGAGCAAUGAAGAUGCGGUGCGUCUUGGGUCUUUCCAGAUUGCUUCUGAGGACAUAGCGAAGGUGGCGCUCUCUUACCAGUCCCUGCAGCAACUAGCAUGAACACGAACAUUCUGCCUCACUGCUACCCAAAUAACUGGACUCCUCUCACAUCAUGUUUACCUUAAGUACAAAUGGAAACGUAAAUGUAUACCAUAACCCAAAAUAAUUAUCGUAAUAACUACUCCUAAAAAGAUGGCUAGUAUGUACAUACUGAUUAUACAUUAAAACAAAAGAACUGAACACAAAUGUGACCACACAUAUGGGUGUCACAAUCUCCCCGACAAAAAUU